GGAAAUAUCAAGGAAGAAUGCUGUGC
rnacentral:piRNA from 2 species